GUAAUGGCUCACCAAGGCUACGAUCGGUAGCUGGUCUGAGAGGAUGAUCAGCCACACUGGAACUGAAACACGGUCCAGACUCCUACGGGAGGCAGCAGUGAGGAAUAUUGCGCAAUGGGGGAAACCCUGACGCAGCAACGCCGCGUGGGUGAAGAAGGCCUUCGGGUCGUAAAGCCCUUUCGGACGGGACGAACGCUUCGCGGUGAAAGCCGCGAAGUCUGACGGUACCGUAGGAAGAAGCACCGGCUAACUCCGUGCCAGCAGCCGCGGUAAUACGGAGGGUGCGAGCGUUGUUCGGAAUUACUGGGCGUAAAGCGCGUGUAGGCGGCCUUGCAAGUCAGGCGUGAAAGCCCUCGGCUUAACCGGGGAAGUGCGUCUGAAACUGCUUGGCUUGAGUACGGGAGAGGGAGGCGGAAUUCCCAGUGUAGAGGUGAAAUUCGUAGAUAUUGGGAGGAACACCGGUGGCGAAAGCGGCCUCCUGGACCGAUACUGACGCUGAGACGCGAAAGCGUGGGGAGCAAACAGGAUUAGAUACCCUGGUAGUCCACGCGGUAAACGAUGGGCACUAGGUGUGGGGGGUAUCCACUCCUCCCGUGCCGAAGCUAACGCAUUAAGUGCCCCGCCUGGGGAGUACGGCCGCAGGUUAAA
rnacentral:rRNA from 1 species